rnacentral:tRNA from 1 species
GCGGGCGUGGCGAAAUUGGUAGACGCGCCGGCUUUAGGUGCCGGUGGCCCUUGGUCGUGGGGGUUCGAGUCCCUCCGCCCGCA